GACAGAGGUGCCGAGCGUUAGGCGGAAUCACUGGGCUUAAAGCGUGUGUAGGCGGAUCUGUAAGUACCUUGUGAAAUCCCACGGCUCAACCGUGGAACUGCUUGGUAUACUGCGGGUCUUGAGCCACCUAGGGGCAAGUGGAACAAACGGUGGAGCGGUGAAAUGCGUAGAUAUGCGGAGGAACACCGAUGGCGAAGGCAAUCCCCUGGGCCUGCACUGACGCUCAUGCACGAAAGCGUGGGGAGCAAACAGG
rnacentral:rRNA from 1 species